rnacentral:tRNA from 1 species
AAGUAGUUAGUUUAAGAAAAACAUUUGAUUUCGGCUCAAAAGCUUGUGGUUUGAUUCCACAACCACUUA